rnacentral:lncRNA from 1 species
CCACUCCAACACAGGCUCUCCUCAGGGAUGUGUUUUGUCCCCACUCCAACACCAACACAGGCUCUCCUCAGGGAUGUGUUUUGUCUCCACUCCACCACCAACACAGGCUCUCCUCAGGGAUGUGUUUUGUCCCCACGCCACCACCAACACAGGCUCUCCUCAGGGAUGUGUUUGUCCCCACUCCAACACCAACACAGGCUCUCCUCAGGGAUGUGUUUUGUCCCCACUCCAACACAGGCUCUCCUCAGGGAUGUGUUUUGUCCCCACUCCACCACCAACACAGGCUCUCCUCAGGGAUGUGUUUUGUCCCCACUCCACCAGCAACACAGACUCUCCUCAGGGAUGUGUUUUGUCUCCACUCCACCACCAACACAGGCUCUCCUCAGGGAUGUGUUUUGUCUCCACUCCACCACCAACACAGGCUCUCCUCAGGGAUGUGUUUUGUCCCCACGCCACCACCAACACAGGCUCUCCUCAGGGAUGUGUUUUGUCCCCACUCCAACACCAACACAGGCUCUCCUCAGGGAUGUGUUUUGUCCCCACUCCAACACAGGCUCUCCUCAGGGAUGUGUUUUGUCCCCACUCCACCACCAACACAGGCUCUCCUCAGGGAUGUGUUUUGUCCCCACUCCACCAGCAACACAGACUCUCCUCAGGGAUGUGUUUUGUCUCCACUCCACCACCAACACAGGCUCUCCUCAGGGAUGUGUUUUGUCCCCACUCCACCACCAACACAGGCUCUCCUCAGGGAUGUGUUUUGUCCCCACUCCACCACCAACACAGGCUCUCCUCAGGGAUGUAUUUUGUCCCCACUCCAACACCAACACAGGCUCUCCUCAGGGAUGUGUUUUGUCUCCACUCCACCACCAACUCUCUCUGUCUCUCUCUCUCUCCCUCUCUUGUUUCUCUCCCGGUUUAACCCAGAUAUCAUAUGCCUCCAGACUUCACUGAACAAUGGAGCUUUUAUUAUCCUCAUGUUGCACCCACACACACACACACACACACACACACACACACACACACACACACACACACACACACACACACACACACACACACACACACACACACACACACACACACAGAGAGACUGUUU